GAUCAAUGUGCAGAAGAUGAUGUGCAAGUAGAGAUACUGGGGUGCAAAAGAGCAAAAAAAUAACAAUAUGGGGAUGAGGUAGUUGGGUGGGCUAUUUACAGAUGGGCUGUGUACAGGUGCAGUGAUUGGUAAGCUGCUCUGACAGCUGAUGCUUAAAGUUAGUGAGGGAGAUAUGAGUCUCCAGCUUCACAGAUUUUUGCAAUUCGUUCCAGUCAUUGGAAACAAGGAACUGGAAGGAAAGGCGGCCAAAGCAGGUGUUGGCUUUGGGGAUGACCAGUGAAAUAUACCUGCUGGAGCGUGUCCUACGGGUGGGUGUUGCUAUGGUGACCAGUGAGCUGAGAUAAGGCGGGGCUUUACCUAGCAAAGACUUAUAGAUGACCUGGACGGCGAAUAUGAAGCAAGGACCAGCCAAUGAGAACAUACAGGUUGCAGUGAGAGGAUGAUGAUGUUUCGGAGAAAACCAGCCCCCAGCAAGUCCUCCAGCUGGUCAAGGUCUUCACCCUCCACUGCCAGAUCCACAACCCCCACAAAAGAAUGAGUAAAAUGAGAAGGGGACUGCAGAGUAUGAUCGUCUCGCAAGAGUCAAGCUGGUUACAUUUAUAAUGUAUAUCUGUUUAUUAUUUUUCUUACAAAUAGUUGUUAUUAAUGGAGGACCAAUAUGUUUUUUAUUUAUUUAUUUCUUUAUUUUUAACCUUUAUUUAACUAGGCAAGUCAGUUAAGAACAAAUUCAAAUUUACAAUGAUGGCCUACCCCUGCCAAACCCUAACCCAGACGACGCUGGGCCAAUUGGGAGUCCCAUAGGGUGGAGCAAAAUCACGGCCGGUUGUUACACAGCCUGGAAUCGAACCAGGGACUGCAGUGAUGCCUCUAGCACUGAGAUGCAAUGCCUUAGACCGCUGUGCCACUCAGGAGCCCAUUUAUGGCUUAUUCAAUGUGUAAUAGCAGUGGGAUUGCCUCAUUUACAUACAUAGGAGACUUUGGAGAUGUUAAGGCGACACUUGGAGAUGUCCCUUGACCGCACCGGACACCCCUUACUAAAACGUCUGUAAAGUUCUAGCUGUUGUGUCGAUCAAUAUCAUUUUGUCUCAGAAGUUUUUGACUUGUUGUGGAAGCCAUCUGAUGUGUUUCCAGCUCUUUUCAUCAAUAAUUGACUUAUAGCUUGUCCAUGAAAGAUGACUUUCAAAAUAAAUUAUAUUAAACACG
rnacentral:lncRNA from 1 species